UCCCUGGUGUCUCAGCUGGUGAAGAAUCCGCCUGCAAUGCGGGAGACCUGGGUUCGAUCCCUGGGUUGGGAA
rnacentral:tRNA from 1 species